rnacentral:lncRNA from 1 species
UUUAAUUCAUUUGUGUUAUACUUUAUUGUGUUUAAUUGAUUUUUAAAUAGUUUCUGUUUUCAAAAAUUAGUGAGAAAAUUUGUCAAACCUUGUUUGACCAUGUUAGACUUAUGAUGAUUCAAUUGGACUUGUUGAAGUUAAUUUGAAUUGAAUUUGAAGCUUGACCAUAUUUUAUCCAUUUUAAUUUUGCUUUUAUUUUAAUUCCAAAAAUACCCAAAAAUAUGUUUGACUUUUUUGACUUCUAAACUUCAUUUCUCUUCUAUUUUACAUUGGUUGAUGGUGAUU